GCUAGUGUGGCCGAGUGGUCCAAGGUGCUGGAUUUAGGCUCCAGUCCCUCUGGGGAUGUGGGAUCGAAUCCCACCACUGCCA